rnacentral:rRNA from 1 species
GAAAGUAAGCAAGGGCAGACGGUGGAUGCCUUGGCUCUCGGAGGCGACGAAGGACGUGAUAAGCUGCGAAAAGCCCGGGGGAGGCGCAAAUAGCCCUUGAUCCCGGGAUAUCCGAAUGGGGCAACCCGGCAGGCUGAAGGCCUGUCAUCCCGUAAGGGAGGCGAACGUGGGGAACUGAAACAUCUAAGUACCCAUAGGAGGAGAAAAUAAACAAUGAUUCCGUAAGUAGUGGCGAGCGAACACGGAAGAGCCCAAACCCAUGUCGUCUAGGCGACACGGGGGUUGUAGGACCACGACGUGGCAAGAUAGAGUCAAGUGGAACGCCUUGGAAAAGGCGACCGUAGAGGGUGAUAGUCCCGUACACGACUGACGAUUGAAGCCUAGUGGUAUCCUGAGUAGCGCGGGGCACGAGAAAUCUUGCGUGAAACAGCGGGGCCCAUCCCGUAAGGCUAAAUACUCCCGAGAGACCGAUAGCGAACCAGUACCGUGAGGGAAAGGUGAAAAGAACCCCGAGCAGGGGAGUGAAAUAGACCCUGAACCCGUCUGCCUACAAGCGGUCGGAGCGUCGUAAUGACGUGACGGCGUGCCUUUUGCAUAAUGAACCUACGAGUUACCUUCCCCGGCAAGGUUAAGUACCUAAGGUACGGAGCCGAAGCGAAAGCGAGUCUGAAGAGGGCGGCCAGUCGGGGGGGGUAGACGCGAAACCGAGUGAUCUACCCUUGGCCAGGUUGAAGGUUGGGUAACACCAACUGGAGGACCGGAUGGGUAAGCGUUGAAAAGCUUUCCAAUGAGCUGAGGGUAGGGGUGAAAGGCUAAUCAAACUCGGAGAUAGCUCGUACUCCCCGAAAUGCAUUUAGGUGCAGCCUCUUUAUAGUAUAUCGUGAGGUAGAGCGACUGAUUGGAUGCGAGGGCUUCACCGCCUAUCAAGUCCAGAUAAACUCCGAAUGCGCGAUAUAUAUUUACAGGGAGUGAGGGCGCGGGUGCUAAGGUCCGUGUCCGAGAGGAGAAGAAUCCAGACCACCGGCUAAGGCCCCCAAAUGAUCGUUGAGUUGAACUAACGAGGUCGGAUCGCAGAGACAGCUAGGAUGUUGGCUUGGAAGCAGCCAUUCAUUUAAAGAGUGCGUAACAGCUCACUAGUCGAGCGAUCUGGCGUGGAUAAUAAUCGGGCAUAAACGAUCUGCCGAAGCCGUGGAUGUCGCAAGACAUGGUAGGGGAGCAUUCCAUGCGGCGUCGAAGAUGAGGGAUGACCCUUGUUGGAGCGCAUGGAAAAGCAAAUGUAGGUAUGAGUAACGAUAAGGGGGGCGAGAAACCCCCCCGCCGAAAGACCAAGGUUUCCUGAUCAACGCUAAUCGGAUCAGGGUGAGUCGGGACCUAAGGCUAAGCCGAACGGCGACGCCGAUGGAAGAAUGGGUUAAUAUUCCCAUACUGCCUCAUGGAGUGACGUGGAGACGGAGAAGUGACAGUCCUGCCGGCUGACGGAAUAGCCGGUUGAAGGGUGUAGGAGUCGAUCAUGGUAGGCAAAUCCGCCGUGAGAUCCGAACCUGACAGUAUACCGAGUACUUGUACGAGGUAAUAUGGACGUAACCAUGCUCCCAAGAAAAUCCGCUAAACUUAUCCAUGCGGCACCCGUACCGUAAACGGACACACGUGGUCGGGUUGAGAAUACUGAGGCGCUCGAGUGACUCACGGUUAAGGAACUAGGCAAAUUGACCCUGUAACUUCGGGAUAAAGGGUCCUCGUCGUAAGGCGAGGCGCAGAGAAUAGGUCCAGGCAACUGUUUAACAAAAACACAUGGCUAUGCUAAAUGGAAACAUGACGUAUAUAGCCUGACACCUGCCCGGUGCUGGAAGGUUAAGAGGAGAUGUCAUCGCGAGAGAAGCGUUGAAUUGAAGCCCCAGUAAACGGCGGCCGUAACUAUAACGGUCCUAAGGUAGCGAAAUUCCUUGUCG